GCUGCGUGGUGUGGGCUGUGCAAAGCAGAGAGGGAGGGAGUCAUUAGAGACACCUGUCUGUUUACAAGGAAACCGCUCUUAUAUGGUUAUAGUUUAUAGCUUACUAAAUUUUUUUUAACCAACCAUUUUCCCAAUCUAGAAAGACCCCUUAUAGCCCACUGCAUCCAUUUAGCCAUUCCCUGAGAUUCAUUUUCGAAUCCUUCGAAUGACACAGCAUCGAUAAAAUACUGUAGGCAAAAUAUAUAAAUGAACAAAUAUAUAUGCAAAGUAAUAAUGUAAAUACAAUUCAAUUUAAUGAGAAUUUCGGCAAGAUUCUGAUCAAUAACAUAACCACCGAGGUAAAUUACAGCUACUUUAAAAACAAAGGCAAGUCAGUAGUGAGACGGAAAACUGAAAGAAAAGUACUAAAAUACGGACAACAAGCCGGCGUCCUUAAAAUGGGGGUUUCUGACGGUGCAACAAAUGUGAUUUGGCUUCAUGGUAACUAGAGUAAAUAAUAAUAGAAAAUAACAACAACAGCGCAGUAACAACAAGAGCUGCAACAACAACUAGAAUAUUAAUAAAUAAAUGAAUAAAUAAUAAUAAUAAUAAUAAUAAUAAUAAUAAUAAUAAAUGUAAAGCCAUUUAAUUUUGGCUGCUUCACUCUUGUAUUUUCCCUUCGUGUUGAUACUAAUUAAUUGAAAUGAAAGGCUUGAAAGUAACGUUUUAUUUUCUUUUUUGGCGAACCAGUUUGAUGGUUCUUUGUUUUCUUUACAAUUCGCGCUGCAGUGUACUUAACAUGUUUCAAUGUAACUCAUAGCUCACUUAGAAAGCAUGGGCUCUAUCCAAGGAAGAAUUCCCAUGGUAUCGACUUUUGACACGAAAGAACUGUGGAUCGGGAGAUGGACGGAGAGGGUCGUCCGUCUUAAAAUAGAUUUUUAUCCCCCCCCCUCCCCCAACCCAUCCACCCAAUGUCUUUUCGGAUCAGCGCCUUUCAAUGGACACAGGGUACUUCCUCAUCCAAAAAAGUAUGUAAGGCGUUUUCUGCCUCAGCUGAUUCUAAAAAAGGUUUGUUCAAAUAAAACUCUUCAAAGAAAUGGACAAUUAGUGGUGCGUCGAUAGAGAGGUGUGUGUUGUGCUAUAGAGUUCAACAAGAUAAGAUUGGAAUGAGGAAGUAUAUAUGACAGCAGCAGCAACAUAAUUAAUAAAUUAAUAACGUACACAAUGAAAUGUUCAGUGUUACAUGAAGGUUUGCAGAUUUGAAUGAACACUGGGCAUUUUACAGUUAGUAUGGCGAGGUAUUGCUGCAAAGGAAAAGGGCACUUUCUUACAAGGAAGGAAAGGCAAGACAUACAAUUGUCUUAAUUCAAGCCAAAGUAUUGCAGCUAAAUAAUGAUGGCUAACAGUCUACAUCAGGGCUGAUCAACCCUUUUCCGCGAGAUAUGCCGUCCUGUAGGUUUUCAUUUCAACCCUAAUUUGACACACGUGAUUCUAAUGAGCAGCUCAAUGAGAUUUCUAGCUGUUGAAUGAGGUGUAUUUUAUUAGAGUUGGAGCGAAAACCUAUAGGACGUUAGAUUUCCAGAGCAUGGUUGGGCAGCCCUGGCCUAUAUUAAUAGUGAGGGAUGAUCCGUUAUAAUGUAGAAAAUGUAUAUCCUAUCCAUUUUUGAACACUCGUAAUGAUGAAAUGCCCAUUCACAUACAUAAUACCUGUAAGAAGAGCUCAGCGAGACUCCAUACACAAUAGCUGACCCCCCAUAGGGAUCUCCAUCGAUUAGGAGGAGAGUUGGGGAUGUCAUCACACUAAAUAUUUACUGAUCACACAAAAAUGGUUGGAACUUUAACGAUUUUCCCUGUUCAGAGUAGAGAAAGGGGUAAAACACUUUAUUAUUGUUUGUAAAGCAAAGAGCUCCCUCCCAGGCAGGGUGCGUUGGGAUGUGUCCUCACCGGGAUAAGAGGAGUUAGACGGAUCGAUAGGCAGUGAUUAGGAGAGACGAGUUGUUGAGAACCACUGUGCCCUGGGAAAAGGAAGGAACUUCACACGCUGAGUAGGCUCAGUCGAAGUGCCGGGAAAAGGGACUGAGCGAAAUAAAAUAAAAACAUCAUAAAAACAGUACAACUGAACAAUCAAAAUAGUACAACUAAACAAUCAAGGCCUUGUGUGAGAUAUGGUUAUUUAGAAGUAUAAAAAUUAAGAAAAAAACAGAAGUAGGCCUGUACAAAUAAAGGAAACUACUCAAGUACUGAAGAAGCCAUUUCGCUUCACAAAUAUUUCCACCACUUUAGGCAUGUUGCGUUGUUCCGCGCCUGACACUGCGCAUUUAUAUCUUAUAUCGCAGGUGAAGAGGCGGUCUUGCUCCAUCUUAUUUAGAUUAAAUUUAAAUUUUUAAAGGAUACGGACUCUCCCCCUGAACCGAAACUCCAUAUCGAUUGGGUGUAGAUGUGCGAGUGAGCAUCCAGGUGUUAAAGGCGAAGAGACGAAAGUUCACUCUAAUCUUAUCUCCGCUGUCACCUCGGUCUUGCGAGCGGUGGAUGCGAGGGACUCCGACCUCAGGGGUCGCUGAGAUCCUGGCCCGAUUAACCCUUCCAGGCCUUGCGCAGAGCAAAGGUUAACCAGGCUAAUCAACUUUGAGGAGCUAAUUGAGUCAAAAGACGCGAAAAAUAGUCAAGAGAAAGAUAAAUGUAAUUGUCUUUCCUACAGAGAGCACUGCGUUAAUGGAUUUGAUUCAGUUAAGUGGUCAUAUAAAUCUGGCUACCUUUUUAUAUCUAGAAUGCAACGACUGUCCUUCUUCUCAGUACAUAUAUUAAAAUAGGCCUAUGUGUUGUGCCAUGCAUUAUUCGAACAUGCUUGGAAGCUGCAAGCAAUCUUGAGCUUCGUGUUAAUCUUAAAUAGAGGAUACAUUUAUAUUAACUGCAAAUAGCCUACAUUUGUUGAAAAAAGGUGCCGGUGCAGUCUAAGCACGACUUUAAACGCAUUAAAUACUCCACUUACACUUAAAAACUAAAAACAAUUUACUUGCAUGCUUUAUUCACAUAAAAGCUGACCUAAAGUGGGCUAUAACUGAUAUUUACCAUUUAUACUUUAAUUGAGGUAAAACAUUUUAAUAUGCUCUUAAUAUGAUGUAUUUAUGGAAUGAUACAUUUUCUAUCAUACUGCUAUUACUGCUAUUGUCACGGAUACUACUAAUAAUUAAUAAAUAAGUAGCCUAGUCCGCAUAAUACAUGCAUACAAUGUGAGUAAUUCGAGAUUAGGCAGGUCUUAUUCCUGGACCAAAAUGUGUAAACAUUAUUUUAAAAAAUCAACAUUAGUAACUAAUCUAAUUAUAUUGUCACUACAUAUUUGUAUAUUCAAAUGGAUUUCACCGCUUUUUAAGUAGCCGACCCAGUAGCUAAUCGUGACAAUGGCGUUUUAAACUGCGCGCUAUUUGCAUUACAUUCUGAUGCAAAGUAUACUCAAAUGGACAGCUGCUUCCUAAAAGAAAUUCCUUUGUGCAAUUGCAGGGGUUUUGGUUUUCUACAUAUGGAAGUUCCCGUCAAAUUGAAUGGAAGUAAUAAUAAGAAUAAGUAAACAAAUAAAGAAACAACUUAUUACAUACUUAAAUGCACUGCUCAAGGUUAAAGACAAAAAUAAAAAUGGUGGGCUUCUAUCUGAAUGAUUUCAAUUAAAGAUCGAUGAAAUAGAUGUGUUAAAGUAUAAACCUCACUGCAGAUUGAACGGAGACGUGAAUCUUCAAACCAGUUUGUGAGUAGUCGAUACAGUCACCUUUGUUUUUUUAGUACGUUCAAUGUAUUCUCAUACUCGAGCACAGCAUCUCUGUUACCGGUUGGAGAAUGAGAUGAAACGACUGAAAGCGGAGGAGGUGGAGCCCAGAAUUAUGGAAUGGCAAACCGCUUUCAAAGUAGCUUUCUCCAUGUCUCCGGUUCAUCAUACGUCACACAUUUCGAAUAUAAUAUAGCUAGUAGGGCCUAAUAGCUCCUCUGUUGAUUACUACGUGCGCGAGAAAACUGCUUCCGCAGUCUUCUGAUGGAUCUCCAGAUUAUAUGGAUUCUGAUCUAAUACAUUGACGGACCGGUGUGUCAUUCACAGUUCGAAGUUAAACCGUCACUUGUAUUCAGUCUAGCGGAAUUUAUGAUUCUGAUACCAGCACGGUACAGAACAUUGAUGUAGGCUACAAUUUCGAUUGAAAGCAAGCAGGAAUUUGAUCGAUCAACAAAUAAUGAAAGUUUAUAAAUACAUUGGUAAACACAUUAGUGGAAAAGCUGAAAAUGGAGAAGAGAGCAGAGUUUGAUUACAAAGUGUUUUCAAUUCAAAUGAUAAAGUAAUUGUGGAAACAAUACUCAAACGUGCUUAUCUCAUAGCAGAGGACUUCACUCAAACCAACUGCAAUGCAAAAACGAAAGUAAAAAUGUAAAAAAUCAUAUAUGACGUAUUUUCCCUUUUCAUCACUGUUAAUUUCAGAUUAAAAGAUUACAUGGUUUACCUAACAUAUUGAAUUGCCUUGUUCCCUUUAGGCAAAGUAUACUCACCAACAUCACUUCUAAUUUCAAGGAACUGAAGCAGAUAAUUUUUAUGAAAGUUAUAUAAAUUUGUAACAUAUAUUGUAACUUCAGAGUAGUGGUAGGUGAACAUCCCACUGUAGAAUGCAACCUGUUUAAACUGGAAUUACAUUUGUGAAAUGUGGGUACUGGGCCAGUAUGUUGGAUCACCAUAAGACAAUGAAUAUAUAAAAUGAAAAUGUGUUGCAAAUGUGCAUGUGAUCACUAAUUAUUGUAUUCACAUUAUCACUGAGGUCUCACCUCAUAAACCACUCGACCAGGUUACACGAGAAGCAUUACAUGUUGCACUGCGUUUACUUUAAGCAAUGGUCAAAAUGGAAUGGUUAAAAAAUCAUUGAGAUUGACCCUGAAAUAUUACAAAUAUCUGUAUUAAAUUGAUUAAAUAAACACUUCAAAAUAUAGUGCUUUCUCAUAAUUUGAAAAUAAACGCAUUAUGUAAUUUCGCAUUAUUAUUAUUAUUAUUAUUAUUAUUAUUAUUAUUAUAGGCCUAUAUUUAGUUCAUGAAUCUGUACGUAAGUGGAAAUAGAAGUAUUCCCAGUUCAUAUGUGUAACAUGAGAUGUGUAUUACUGAUUGAUAUUUUAGAUACAAUUUUUUAUUAAGCUAAGAAUGGAUGCCGAAAGUGAAUCAACACCCACGAGCCAUGGAGAGUCCACACAAAGCCAGUGCUAAACAAAAGUGCCUGUGUGUAUUUGAGCAUGAAGUGAUGUUUGCUAGAAUGGACAAUUUGUUGAUACUUGGAAUUUCUCCUUCCAUCACACUGUUUAAUGUGUUUCAAUUUUCUAUUUAAUAAUCCUUAGAAAAGACCUGUUUUGAAAUCACAUUAAAAGUAGAAUUAUUUAAUUGCUUUUUUGUAAAAUUGUCAAAUGACUGAUGAUAUUAAGCCUUCAUUAAACCUACAAUAUCUGAAUGAGGCAAGCUCUUAGUGAUUAUUCAAUUCUGAUUUAUUUUCUUGAAGAUUAAAACCACACACCACUCAAUAUGACACUCAAAUACAUGCUGCUAUGUAUUUAUUAUUUUAUUCUCACUUCAGAGCUCUGCACAGCAAUGUGCAUGUACACAAAUGCACAUACAGAAACUCAAAUGCACACACAUGCACAUACUCACAGAUGCACUCAUAUCAGUCUCUCUCUCUCUUUCUCUCUCUCUCUCUGGUUAAAAGCACACACACACACACACACAUGCACACACGCACACACACACACAUACACACACACACGCGCACACACAUGCACACACGUAAACAUACACAGACACACACAAACACACACACAACACACGUACACACACACACACACACACACCACACACGCACACACUCAGACACACACACGCACACAGAGUUGUAUGCAUGAGCCGUGUUCCAGAAUGUAAAACAAUUGGAUGAAAUCCAGCUCUGCUGCAGCCCAGCCUUGAAAUAUUUAAACAAAUGUUCCCCCCUUUCAUUAAUUAACCACGCAUUUGUUUUUAUUUAAUCAAGAACACAUAAUGAUGUUCCACAAGUGGCUAGCAAAGUAGGAUACAUAGGUUAAUACCUAUAAGUGAGAGGUGUAUUUAUUAAGCAUUGUGUGUUAUAUUUUUGAGGCCAAUCGAUCAUUUACAGCUGAAGGCCUCUUACAUGAAGUUGUUGGGUUGUUCACAUGCACACACACACUCACACACAAACACACACACACACACACACACACUCAUGCACACACGCAUGCACACACACACACUCAAUACAACUUAUCAUUAUUAUUUUUCUUUGUCAAUUUAGGUGUAAUACAACACAUGGAGAAUGAAAAGUCUUUUGAUAAUCAUAUGAAGAGAAAUAAGGAGAGAACCAUUUAAUUGAUCAAUUAAAGCAGUUCAUUACACAGAUGAACUCACCCGGUUUCUUGGGUCUUAAUCGGUUGCUGAUUUUAUGGUGAAAAGCAAAAACCAGCCACCCUGCAGGUCUCCGAAGGUCAGAGUUAAUAUCACUGGUCUGAUAGAUGGACAUGUGACUAGACGUUCAGGACAAUAGCUGUUUCAAACUUAUGGAGAAGCAAAGAAAUGGAAUUUGGAUGGACUUCACUUGAGAUGACAGCAAAGGACACAAGGUAGACCAGGAUACUGACAGCUGCAUAUAUAUGCUGGACACCUGAACACCUAUAUAUUCUGCAUGGUUCUCACAGAGCCACAUUCAACCCAGUAGUGCUGAUACAAUUUGAUGUUGAAAAUUUACCAGGACAGUGUGGUGUAAGCAAGCACUACAUUUAGCAACUGGCAACAUUUAAAUUGGGAUGAACCAGAAUGAAACAAAUUGAUGGUUUAAGUAGAAUCACUAUAAAGACCUUGCAGAUGUGCUAGGUUACUUUAUUUUCUUUUUUGCCUUUAAUUUAUUUCAAAUUUCACGGUUUGGUCUAUUUACUCCCCAAAAACAGGGUUCUAGCAAAAAUGUUACCGCUAAGCAGAACUGUAGUUGUAGCAAUAAUUUUGUAAUGAUUCACUGACUUGAUGUGUCUGUUUUCCUAUGUUUUCUGUUUUCUUGGCAGAGUGAAGUUUCAGGAACCCUUGUCAGUGUAGUAUAAUGGUUAUGGAAAUGGGCUUGUGAACGCAUAGCUUGCCAGUCCACUUCUCGGCUGGCACUCUGUCAUGGUUAUCCUUGAGGAAAGUACUUAACCUGAAUUGUUUAGUUAGAAAUAUCCAGCUGUCUGAAAGUAAUAUGUAAAGAUGAAAGGUGUCUGUAAAUCACUCUGGAUAAGAGCAUCUACUUAAUGCUGAAAUGUAAUUUCACUCUUUGAUUGAACCAAUCACAAAGAUAUUGCUCUCCACAGCAAAUAAAUAUUAUUGGUGAAACAAGUAAGACAGUUAUGCCACUUGCUUGCUCGGCCCUGUUUUUGAUUUGAAGUCUCAUUCUCCCAUCAUGACUUGUCAACUGUUUAUACCUGAUCUAUCCUUCUCCCCCCACCCUCAGGUGCUUGAUCUGGGAAGAUGAACAAUAUAUUAUUGUUGGAACGUGAAGAUAGACAAGUGUUAUAACAAAUAUUAAUAGGCAAAAUAAAAGUAAUAAUAUACAAAUCUGUACUAUGAUGUGUGUCUACUUUUGAAGAACUUGAAAAAGCUUCACUGAUAUAAUGAGAUAUUUAGCAAUUAUAUUUAGUGAAGUCAAGAUAUGAUAUGUAAUCUGUGAUCCUACUCCCUUUCUCUAUUUUCAAGAGGAAGGGUACAAGGGAGAGAAAGAGAGAAUGUGAGUUUGUACAUACUUGCAUGGAUGUGUGUGUGUAUUUCUGUAUAUAUGUAUGUGCGUGGCGUGCAUUCGUAUGUGAAUUUAUGCAUGGGUUGUGUGUGUGUGUGUGCAUGUGUGUGAGCAUGUUUGUGUGCUUGUGUGUGUGUGUGCAUAUGUGUGAGUGAGUUUGUGUGCGUGUGUGCGUUUGUGUGCAUGUGUGUGUGUGCGUUUGUGUGCGUGUGUGUGUGAGCAUGUGUGUGUGCUUGUGUGCGUGUGUGUGAGUUAGUUUGUGUGCAUGUGUGUGUGAGUGCGUUUGUGUGCAUGAGCACGUGUGUGCGUGUGUGCAUGUGUGUGUGUGAAUGCGUUUGUGUGUGUGUGUGUGAGCAUGUGUGUGCGCUUGUGUGUGUGUGUGGCAGUACGUUUGUGUGCAUGUGUGUGAGCAUGUGUGGGUGCAUUUGCUUGUGUGUGUGUGUGUGUGUGUGUGUGUGUGUGAGUGCAUUUGCAUGUGUGUGUGUGUGUGUGAGUGAGUGCAUUUGCGCGUGUAAGAGAGAGUGCAUAUGAGUGUGAGAGUGUGUGUGUUGUUCAUUCAGUGGUAUACAUUACUCUCCUCCCCUCAGUCUGAGUGCUUGCCCUGAGGGCCAAUCUCUGAAGGCAUUAAAUGUGAGAUAGCUUACAGUGUUCGAUUCACCCAUGAUGGAUUACGGUGUCAAUUUAAAAGGGGAAGGAUUAAUUUGUCUCAAUGAUUUUGCUGCACACUGAAAGCCAGGCCCCUUUUUCUGUCCACGUCUUCUACAUUUCUUUUCAAAUUUUAAAUGCACUUUAAAGUCACCAUAAUGGGAGGUGACAGAGAGGGUGUCGAGUUCUCCCAGUGUUACUCUAUCAUGUCUUCACCACAGGUACUUUUUUUAAAGGAAUGAUGGGUCCAGAUUUAUCCAUUAAAAUGAAACAGAAUCCAGAACACAUCCAGUCAUAUUUGGGUUCAGACUAUACGUCACUCACUGUACACACUAUGACUGGUACAUAUCUAAAAAAAAAAUAACAUCAAUGAAAGGAAACUAAUACUAACAGGGUUGGGGAUAAUUUCAUUUCAAUUUAGACAUUUCAGGAAACUAAUUGAAAUUUAAUGAAUCAUCAAAACAAGUCCUCUAAUAUUAUUGAAAUUUUCGAGUUAAUCAAUUGAAUUUAAAUGUAAUUUUUGAAUUUAUUAUAUUAAAAUGAAGUUGACCUCAAUUCUGAAUACUAACCAAACAGACUAGCAGUGGGUUUAUUAAGAGGUGAGAAUCAUAAUGUUUCAAUUCAUUCAUAUAACAUAUAAUAAAACUCACGAAUGAACCACAAAGGAAUGGGUUAGAUAUGAUAUUGUAAACAACUCUGAAGCUAAUCAGAGAUAGGCUGUAAUAUAAUGAAUUCAUAUAUGUGGAUUAAUUCAAGGUGUACACAUUGAUUUAGAUUUACCAGUGGAUAUCACACUUCUUAAAAUGUUAAAAUAUGUAUUAUUCUGUUUAUCAGAAUAAUAUAAAUGCCAUAUAAACGCAUGGAAAAUAUGUUUCAGUUAAAAGGGCAUUACAAGAAAACUUUGAGAAAAGUUGUCAACAACUUCUGCUGCAAAAUCUGCACCUGCACAGCAAAAUAAAAUGCUUAUGUUAAAUAACUCUGUGUCCUGUGGAGAUAAAAUGUGCUUUAUCACAGUGCACUAAGCAUUGGACCUUCUAUUGAUCUAAAUCAAUAGCUUUGAUAUGUCAGAUGGUUGAAAUAUUAUUUCUAUAUUUACUUUAUGAAAGUUAUUUUGACAUACAUGACUUUAACUAAAAGUAGUUCGAAAACAUAUAUAGAAACAGUUUAUCAACAGGGCUGGGGUAGUAGGUUUGCAUUGGCCCUGCUUAGUGUAGAUAUGGGAAUCUAUAGGAAUAGGAAUAGGAAUUCACAAUAUAACUAUUACACACAUACAGUAAUUAGAUCAUAGAUUGAUUAAUCUCAGUGCUGUCUUUAAUGGAAAUUUGUGUUUUAUUGAUCUGUUGAGCAGGCACAGUGUCUGAGGACAUUGAACACAUUGUGCAAAACCAGAUUGGGGAAUGUGCCAGAACAGAGCCAGGACAAAAGAAAGAAAGAAAGAGAAAUAAAGAGUAAGAAAGAAAGAGUUCAAUGGUCAGAUUGUUGGGAUGAAGGCUUCAUCUGUGUCAUGAAAAGAGAAGGAAAGGACAGACUGUAAAAAUCUCAAAAAAAGAGAAGAUAGGAGGAGUGUCCUGUAUUAGCUUGUCAAAUCUGUUCUCUGAUCAGGGAUUCGGGGGUGGGGUGUCACACCAUCUCAUAGUCACUAAUUUACUUGUUUGCUUGCAUGGAAAGUAACAGUGAACACAGAGGAACUGGCUGUCCACAAAUGUCAAACACAAAAUCAAUCAAAAGAAACCCAUAUUGUUUACGCCAUUGACCUACCUUUCCAUGUAGACAGUAAAAUGGUCGUUAAUGCAAUGUUAAUGCAACUCACACAAUUUGUAUGGGCCCAAAAUAAAUAAAAUGGGCUCUGCCAAAGGUAAAAUGUACCCAACAGCGUAUUCAACACUGGAGUAUGUUUGUUUGAGUAUGUUGCAUUUAAUUUAAAAGCUUUCUUUACCGCCAGACUUCUCUUACAUUUACAGGGACUCGUUUCAUCCUGAAAUGCUGGCAGAGUUUUGUGGUAUGGAGACGGGUCUCUGUCAGCAUAGAGAUGCCUUCCCUGGAGGUCAGCCUGUUGAGGCAGGCAUUAGGUGUCACACAGCAAGGAUGCUGCCACCUAUUGAAGUCUGUCUGAAGAAGAUUAAUACGACAUGCCAGCUUUCGGAAAGCACUCCUUUUGCUGAAUAUCUAUCCUCUGACACAAGACAGAUCAUAGGCAAACACUUUGUUAUAUACCUGUUGUGGACAAUGCAUUCAACCCAGAAUUUUUAAUGAUCCCUGUGGAAAUGUUUGCAAGAAAGAAAUAUGCAAUAGGCAAAUAUAUGCAACUAACAACAGAAAAAAUUGUUUUUGAAUAUGACCGAAUGGUGUGAGAAGAAUUUUAACAAGGCUUGAUCUGAUGAUUUGAUAAAGUUAUAAAUCAAGCUUAUUUCUUAUUAAAUAUCUACAAACUCACAUUGGCAGGUUUGCAUUGCUCAGUAAUAGUUUGUUGGGUGGUCCAAACCAAAGCACCUACACUAAAACACAGACAAACACAGAUACACACACACACACUGUUUCCAGGACUGGAAUAAGCAAGCAAGCAGGUGGGACCAUCUUACAUUGGUAACGUUUUUAACAUACCUGACCAGGUUUUUAACAAAAAAAAAACAAAAAAAUCUGCUCUGGAUUCUGUAUUCAUGUUAUGGUAGAGCAUGAAUGUUAUGGCAGAGCAUUAUUUUGCUCAAAUUGUGGAAUUCUGUUUUGCCUGUAAAGGAACUGUGCUGCAAAUUAACUGCUUUCAAAUAUUUUCCAAAAUGAGGUAUGAUUGUAGAUAGUGGUUUAUGUUCAAAAAGUUAAGUAUUACCACAUAGAAAGACUUACUGAAUUGGGGGCUCAUUAACUCGAAAGAGUAAAAAUAUCACCAUUGCAUUAUUGUGUAAAAAGGUGCAUCCCUCAUUUUACUAAAUAUUUUAAUAACUAAAACAUUAUUGUAUUUUAACACAACAUUAUUUUGUUUCUGUUAAAAAAUAUGCAUUAAAGCAAAUUGAGUCAUCUUA